UACGUAGGGGGCAAGCGUUAUCCGGAUUUACUGGGUGUAAAGGGGGCGCAGACGGCGAUGCAAGCCAGGAGUGAAAGCCCGGGGCCCAACCCCGGGACUGCUCUUGGAACUGCGUGGCUGGAGUGCAGGGGGGGCAGGCGGAAUUCCUGGUGUAGCGGUGAAAUGCGUAGAUGUCAGGAGGAACACCGGUGGCGAAGGCGGCCUGCUGGACUGCAACUGACGUUGAGGCCCGAAAGCGUGGGGAGCAAACAGG
rnacentral:rRNA from 1 species